rnacentral:rRNA from 1 species
CCUACGGGAGGCAGCAGUGAGGAAUAUUGGUCAAUGGGCGCAAGCCUGAACCAGCCAAGUCGCGUGAGGGAAGACGGCCCUACGGGUUGUACACCUCUUUUGCCGGGGAGCAAGCCUGAGCACGUGUGCCCAGGCGGAGAGUACCCGGAGAAAAAGCAUCCACUAACUCCGUGCCAGCAGCCGCGGUAAUACGGAGGAUGCGAGCGGUAUCCGGAUUUAUUGGGGUUAAAGGGUGCGCAGGCGGGCUGUUAAGCCGGCGGUAAAAAUUCAGGGCUCAACCCUGUCGAGCCGUCGGAACUGGCAGCCUUGAGUGGGCGAGAAGUAUGCGGAAUGCGUGGUGUAGCGGUGAAAUGCAUAGAUAUCACGCAGAACGCCGAUUGCGAAGGCAGCAUACCGGCGCCCGACUGACGCUGAGGCACGAAAGCGUGGGGAUCGAACAGGAUUAGAUACCCUUGUAGUC